rnacentral:rRNA from 1 species
AGUUUGAUCCUGGCUCAGGAUGAACGCUGACAGAAUGCUUAACACAUGCAAGUCUACUUGAACUUCGGUUUGGGUGGCGGACGGGUGAGUAACGCGUAAAGAACUUGCCUCACAGUUAGGGACAACAUUUGGAAACGAAUGCUAAUACCUGAUAUUAUGAUUUUAGGGCAUCCUAAGAUUAUGAAAGCUAUAUGCGCUGUGAGAGAGCUUUGCGUCCCAUUAGCUAGUUGGAGAGGUAACGGCUCACCAAGGCGAUGAUGGGUAGCCGGCCUGAGAGGGUGAACGGCCACAAGGGGACUGAGACACGGCCCUUACUCCUACGGGAGGCAGCAGUGGGGAAUAUUGGACAAUGGACCAAAAGUCUGAUCCAGCAAUUCUGUGUGCACGAUGACGUUUUUCGGAAUGUAAAGUGCUUUCAGUUGGGAAGAAAAAAAUGACGGUACCAACAGAAGAAGUGACGGCUAAAUACGUGCCAGCAGCCGCGGUAAUACGUAUGUCACAAGCGUUAUCCGGAUUUAUUGGGCGUAAAGCGCGUCUAGGUGGUUAUGUAAGUCUGAUGUGAAAAUGCAGGGCUCAACUCUGUAUUGCGUUGGAAACUGCAUGACUAGAGUACUGGAGAGGUAAGCGGAACUACAAGUGUAGAGGUGAAAUUCGUAGAUAUUUGUAGGAAUGCCGAUGGGGAAGCCAGCUUACUGGACAGAUACUGACGCUGAAGCGCGAAAGCGUGGGUAGCAAACAGGAUUAGAUACCCUGGUAGUCCACGCUGUAAACG